UUAAAUUGAAGAGUUUGAUCAUGGCUCAGAUUGAACGCUGGCGGCAGGCCUAACACAUGCAAGUCGAACGGUAACAGGAAGCAGCUUGCUGCUUGGCUGACGAGUGGCGGACGGGUGAGUAAUGUCUGGGAAACUGCCUGAUGGAGGGGGAUAACUACUGGAAACGGUGGCUAAUACCGCAUAACGUCGCAAGACCAAAGAGGGGGACCUUCGGGCCUCUUGCCAUCAGAUGUGCCCAGAUGGGAUUAGCUAGUUGGUGAGGUAACGGCUCACCAAGGCGACGAUCCCUAGCUGGUCUGAGAGGAUGACCAGCCACACUGG
rnacentral:rRNA from 2 species